AGUGACAGGUACGCACCAAGCUUACAUGAAUUGGGACACUUCACAAUCCCAACGGUCUGUGAUCCAGCAACCCUACAGUGGUUUAUUUUCGCCAAAGCACAGGAAGCAAGAGAGAAUCUGAAAAGAAAGGAGGAGAUGAUGGUUACAGAAAAAGAGCUAGUCGAUACUUCCACUGAAAAGUUUUCUUUGGAUCGGCUGUAUAAGGAACCCAGUGUUUCCAGCGCCCAGAUGAUAGAUUGUUGUAAGCGACUGCUAGAAGAAUCGCUGCCGUACCUACAAGGCAUGCACCUUUGCAUUUCACAUUUCUACUCCGUGCUGCAGGAUGGAGACCUGUGCAUACCUUGGAACUGGAAAAACUGAGGACAUAUCUGAUAAUCAGAUGAAUUGUUUAUUUUCUGUAAGAGGUUAUAAAUAUGAAUGGUUUUUAAGAGUAAAUUAUUUAAAUCUGUAUUUUGAUAUCAGUAUUCAACCCACAGAUUUUCUUCUAACUGCUGCUGAAGGAGGAUUGUAGUCCUAGACACUUCGCACAACGCGCAGUGUUGCCAGCCCUGGGACAGACACCCGUACAUUCUCCAUGCUGCCGUAGGAGUCCCGGUGCGUGGUAGCAGUUGUGAAACCGCGGUUUUGUAGUGAAUUAUGCAAAUCACAUUAAAUUGCAAGUCUGCAAAAA